UGGGAAGUCAGUCCAGCUGGGCUGACUUCCCAUCCCCCAUGAUAGAUCGGGCUGGGGGCAGGGAGUCAGUCCAGCCCGAUCUAGUGUGGGGGAUAGGAAGCCAGCUCAGCACAAUGGAAUCAAAAGGCCCAUCGCCUAUGUAAGUUGAAUACCACUGGAAGGAGGUAUGCUACCAUCGAAAGAGAAUGUUUGGUUAUUAAACGGGCCAUAGAGUACUUUAGGUACUAUCUUAUGGACUGAGAGUUCCACUUAAUAAGAGAUCAUGCCCCUCUUCAAUGGUUCUGUAAAGCGAAAAUGGAUAACACUUAAAUUACUAGGUGGGCAUUAGCAUUGCAGCCAUUCAAAUUUUCCAUCAGCCUGGUCCUGCUAAUAAGGUUGCAGAUUUCUUAUCUAGGUGCACAGAUCCAGAUACCCAACAGGAGGAGGUACACCCAGAAGAAGGGAAGAAUAAAGAAAGAAAUAACAUUUGUAAAGAAUGGUAAUUUUGCAACUUUACAGAGUGUGAACCACAGAGAUUAGUCAAGAUGAAUGCUGCCUGCCAGACCAUCCCCCCAAACUAUGAAGCGUCCCUGGUGAUAUAGAGAACACUAUGGACAUCGGAGAUUGAACAUUUUCAAUAUUGACAGUAAAGAAGCCUAAAGUAUAUAAAAAUUCCAAAGUUUGAAAUUGUGUCAGUUGUUUUUUCUUUCACAGAUUGCAUUUCGGGGGUGGGUGGGGUCAGUUGGGAAAAGUGCUGACCACACCUGUAGCAGAAAGCC